CCACGAAGCUGGAUUCGCUAGUAAUCGCGCAUCAGCCACGGCGCGGUGAAUACGUUCCCGGGCCUUGUACACACCGCCCGUCAAGCCAUGGGAGCCGGGAGUGCCUGAAGUACGUGACCGCAAGGAGCGUCCUAGGGUAAGACCGGUGACUGGGGCUAAGUCGUAACAAGGUAUC
rnacentral:rRNA from 1 species